GACGAACGCUGGCGGCGUGCUUAACACAUGCAAGUCGAACGGAAAGGCCCUGCUUUUGUGGGGUGCUCGAGUGGCGAACGGGUGAGUAACACGUGAGUAACCUGCCCUUGACUUUGGGAUAACUUCAGGAAACUGGGGCUAAUACCGGAUAGGAGCCCCCGCUGCAUGGUGGGGGUUGGAAAGUUUCGGCGGUUGGGGAUGGACUCGCGGCUUAUCAGCUUGUUGGUGGGGUAGUGGCUUACCAAGGCAUUGACGGGUAGCCGGCCUGGGAGGGUGACCGGCCACAUUGGGACUGAGAUACGGCCCAGACUCCUACGGGAGGCAGCAGUGGGGAAUAUUGCACAAUGGGCGGAAGCCUGAUGCAGCAACGCCGCGUGCGGGAUGACGGCCUUCGGGUUGUAAACCGCUUUCGCCUGUGACGAAGCGUGAGUGACGGUAAUGGGUAAAGAAGCACCGGCUAACUACGUG
rnacentral:rRNA from 1 species